rnacentral:rRNA from 1 species
GAUGAACGCUGGCGGCGUGCCUAAUACAUGCAAGUCGAGCGAACCACUUCGGUGGUGAGCGGCGAACGGGUGAGUAACACGUAGGUGAUCUGCCCAUCAGACGGGGACAACGAUUGGAAACGAUCGCUAAUACCGGAUAGGACGAAAGUUUAAAGGUGCUUCUGGCACCGCUGAUGGAUGAGCCUGCGGCGCAUUAGCUAGUUGGUAGGGUAAAGGCCUACCAAGGCGACGAUGCGUAGCCGACCUGAGAGGGUGAACGGCCACACUGGGACUGAGACACGGCCCAGACUCCUACGGGAGGCAGCAGUAGGGAAUCUUCGGCAAUGGGCGAAAGCCUGACCGAGCAACGCCGCGUGAAUGAUGAAGGCCUUCGGGUUGUAAAUUACUGUUAUAAGGAGAACGACUUAGUAGG